rnacentral:lncRNA from 1 species
GCAUCUUGAACCGACUGGGAAUCGAUUCGUCGAGGACUAGUCGGGAGAGAGGUUGGGCGGUCUGGAAGUCGACGUCAUUCGAAGACUUCUGGCCGUCCAUCUGCAACUGGGCGAGUCGACAGUCGAUUUCCUUGAACCGGCGCUCGUAGUCGUCCGCUCGUCGAUGCUGGGAGACCCCGGGAGUGGAGUCUCCAGAAGAUUCCGAGAGGGAGGCCGACGGCGUGCGCGGUCGUUUCUCC